GUCUUAUUGAUAAUAAUUUUAAGUCGACCUGCCCAAUGAGUACUUGAAUGGCUGCAGUAUAACUGACUGUACAAAGGUAGCAUAAUCAAUUGGUUUUUAAAUGAAAUCUGGAAUGAAAGGAUUAAUGAAAUAUACACUGUCUCAUAUAUAUUUCACUAACUUAAAAUUUUAAUUAAAAUGUUAAAAUUUUUUUAUGGGACGAUAAGACCCUAUAGAAUUUUAUAUUGUCAAAUCUUAAUAGUUAAUAUAAAAAAUUUGACAAUAUUUGGUUGGGAGGACUAUUAAAUUUUAUGAACUUUAAUUUCUGAUAACUUUAAUUAAAGAAAAUUACUAAUGAUCUUCAAAUUGAAAUAAUUAGACUAAAUUACCUUAGGGAUAACAGCGUAAUAUUUUUUUAUAGAUCGUAUAGAAAAAAGUGAUUGCGACCUCGAUGUUGAAUUAAGAUAAAUUUUAAACGCAGGAGUUUAAUAAUUAAGUCUGUUCGACUUUUAAAAUCUUACAUGAUUUGAGUUCAAAUCGACGUAAGU
rnacentral:rRNA from 1 species